GGUUUCCAGGGUCUUCAAAUGUCCUUGUAAGGGUUCCUAUGCCAGGCACAUUGACAGCUUAUUCUAAACUGGCACAGUCUAGCCAUGUACAUGGAUGGACUUAGUAAUGAAGUGGUAUCCCAUCCACAGGUCAUACCCUGCCUCUCUGUGAUUUUAGAACUCAAAAAAAUGAUUAUUGAAAUUGAUGGAUGGAUG